AUUGAACGCUGGCGGCAUGCUUUACACAUGCAAGUCGAACGGCAGCGGGGUAGUGCUUGCACUACUGCCGGCGAGUGGCGCACGGGUGAGUAAUAUAUCGGAACGUACCGAGUAAUGGGGGAUAACCAAUCGAAAGAUUGGCUAAUACCGCAUACGUCCUGAGGGAGAAAGCGGGGGAUCGCAAGACCUCGCGUUAUUCGAGCGGCCGAUAACUGAUUAGCUAGUUGGUGGGGUAAAGGCCUACCAAGGCGACGAUCAGUAGCGGGUCUGAGAGGACGAUCCGCCACACUGGGACUGAGACACGGCCCAGACUCCUACGGGAGGCAGCAGUGGGGAAUUUUGGACAAUGGGGGCAACCCUAAUCCAGCCAUGCCGCGUGUAUGAAGAAGGCCUUCGGGUUGUAAAGUACUUUUGUUAGGGAAGAAAAGGGAAGUGCUAAUACCACUUUUUGCUGACGGUACCUAAAGAAUAAGCACCGGCUAACUACGUG
rnacentral:rRNA from 1 species